rnacentral:misc_RNA from 1 species
AGAGUUUGUUUAUUUUUUGUUUGUGUUUUUAUUUAAAUUUUUGAUUUUAUGGGGGGUUUUUUUUUAUUAUUUUUUUUUGAAAAAAGAGUUAGUUUAUAGUUUUAGUUAAUAAUUUUUGGGUGUGAUAGUGUUUAAUUUAUAAAUUUUUUUGGAAAUUUUUUAGUUUGUUUGAAUAGGUUUUUUUGGUUAUAUGGGAUUGUUUAGAGUUUUUUAAUUGUGAGAGGUAGGAGAUGUUUUAAAUUGUUUAAAUAUAGAUUUUUUUGAGUAGUUAUAAGAUUGAUUAGAAAUUGUAUUGGUGAAUGGUUUUUUAUUUGUUGGGUUAUUGUUUGUUGUUAAGUUUUUAUAUUUUUUAUUUGUUGUGUUUUUGGUAGUGUAUUGAUUAAUAUAAUUGGUGUAAGUAGUAGUUUUAAUGUUUGUAAUUUGGGAUUUUUGAGUUAAUUUUUUUUUUUGUUAUAGUUUAUUAUAUUUUUGUUUUGUAGGAAUGUAAUUUUAUUUAAUGUUUUUUUGGAGGGUGGUUUUUGAUUAAUUAUUUUUAGAGAAAAAUAAGUUUUUUGAAGAAAAGGUUUUAAAAUGUUAAUAGGUUUUUGGGUUAGAAGAUGAUGUAAAUUAUUUAAGUUUUUGUAUAUGAUAAGUUUGUAGGAAGAAAGUUUGGUUUGUUGUAAGAUUUGAUUUUUUUUUUUAUUAUUUUUUAUGUAUAAUUUAAGGUAUAAAAAUUAUUUUGAAAAAUAAAGUGUGGGUUUUGUUUAUUGAAAUUUGGUUUUAUUAUGUCGUUUUUUUUUUUAUUUUUUGGUUGAAU